AGCCCUGGCCCUGCCAUCGUG
rnacentral:miRNA from 1 species